rnacentral:rRNA from 1 species
CCUACGGGGGGCUGCAGUGGGGAAUUUUGGACAAUGGGGGCAACCCUGAUCCAGCCAUGCCGCGUGCGGGAAGAAGGCCUUCGGGUUGUAAACCUCUUUUAGUCGGGAAGAAAAGGCACGGGUUAAUACUCCGUGUUCUUGACGGUCCCGGCGGAAUAAGCACCGGCUAACUACGUGCCAGCAGCCGCGGUAAUACGUAGGGUGCGAGCGUUAGUCGGAAUUGCUGGGCGGAUAGGGUGCGCAGGCGGUGAAAGCCCCGGGCUCAACCUGGGAACUGCGAUGGAAACUGGCGGGCUUGAGUGUGGCAGAGGGGGGUGGAAUUCCGCGUGUAGCAGUGAAAUGCGUAGAGAUGCGGAGGAACACCGAUGGCGAAGGCAGCCCCCUGGGCCAACACUGACGCUCAGGCACGAAAGCGUGGGGAGCAAACAGGAUUAGAUACCCCUGUAGUC